rnacentral:rRNA from 1 species
CACUCCUGCGGGAGGCAGCAGUGGGGAAUUUUGGACAAUGGGCGAAAGCCUGAUCCAGCCAUGCCGCGUGCAGGAUGAAGGCCUUCGGGUUGUACACUGCUUUUGUACGGAACGAAACGGCCUUUUCUAAUAAAGAGGGCUAAUGACGGUACCGUAAGAAUAAGCACCGGCUAACUACGUGCCAGCAGCCGCGGUAAUACGUAGGGUGCAAGCGUUAAUCGGAAUUACUGGGCGUAAAGCGUGCGCAGGCGGUUAUGUAAGACAGUUGUGAAAUCCCCGGGCUCAACCUGGGAACUGCAUCUGUGACUGCAUAGCUAGAGUACGGUAGAGGGGGAUGGAAUUCCGCGUGUAGCAGUGAAAUGCGUAGAUAUGCGGAGGAACACCGAUGGCGAAGGCAAUCCCCUGGACCUGUACUGACGCUCAUGCACGAAAGCGUGGGGAGCAAACAGGAUUAGAAACCCGGGUAGUCCCAUGA